rnacentral:rRNA from 1 species
AACGCGAAGAACCUUACCAGGGCUUGACAUCUCCUGAAGGCUCAAGAGAUUGAGCUGUCCCUUCGGGGCAGGAAGACAGGUGGUGCAUGGUUGUCGUCAGCUCGUGUCGUGAGAUGUUCGGUUAAGUCCGGCAACGAGCGCAACCCCUGUGGCCAGUUGCCAUCAUUUGGUUGGGCACUCUGGCAAGACCGCCGUUAACAAAACGGAGGAAGGUGGGGAUGACGUCAAAUCAUCAUGCCCCUUAUGUCCUGGGCUUCACACGUACUACAAUGGUAGCAACAGAGGGCAGCCACACCGCGAGGUGGAGCGAAUCCCAAAAUGUUAUCUCAGUUCGGAUUGCAGGCUGAAACUCGCCUGCAUGAAGCAGGAAUUGCUAGUAAUGGCAGGUCAGCAUACUGCCGUGAAUACGUUCCCGGGCCUUGUACACACCG